rnacentral:misc_RNA from 1 species
AAAUGCGAUAAUUAAUGUGAAUUGCAGAAUUCAGUGAAUCAUCGAGUCUUUGAACGCACAUUGCGCCCCCUGGUAUUCCGGGGGGCAUGCCUGUCCGAGCGUCAUUGUUGCCCUCAAGCACGGCUUGUGUGUUGGGCUUCCGUCCCUGGCAACGGGGACGGGCCCAAAAGGCAGUGGCGGCACCAUGUCUGGUCCUCGAGCGUAUGGGGCUUUGUCACCCGCUCCCGUAGGUCCAGCUGGCAGCUAGCCUCGCAACCAAUCUUUUUAACCAGGUUGACCUCGGAUCAGGUAGGGAUACCCGCUGAACUUAAGC